ensembl:rRNA 5S_rRNA 5S ribosomal RNA
GUCUACGGCCAUACCACCCUAAAUGUGUCCAGUCUCGUCUGGUCUCAGAAACUAAGCAGGGUUGAGCCUGAUUAGUACUUGGAUGGGAAAAAGAUCUUCAGAGGAGACUGCUCAGAGACAAACAGUUUGAAGACA